rnacentral:misc_RNA from 1 species
UUUCCGUAGGUGAACCUGCGGAAGGAUCAUUAUUGUAUAAUCGAGGUGCGAGGGCUGUCGCUGACCCGAAAGGUCGUGCACGCCCGAGUGCCCUCACACACAUCCAUCUCACCCCUAUGUGCACCACCGCGUGGGUCCCCCUUUGGCUUGUUCGGAGGGGGGCUUACGUUUUCACACAAACUUUGUAUGCAGUGUAGAAUGUAUUUUUUGCUUUUGCGAUCACGCAAUCAAUACAACUUUCAACAACGGAUCUCUUGGCUCUC